GCCGGGGUGGCCCAGUCUGGUAACGGCGCUAGCUUGCUAAGCUAGUUGCGCGCGAGCGCUUCCCGGGUUCAAAUCCCGGCCCCGGCG
rfam:Candidate divison MSBL1 archaeon SCGC-AAA259J03 AAA259J03_Contig_15, whole genome shotgun sequence.